GGCGGAUGUAGCCAAGUGGAUCAAGGCAGUGGAUUNGUGAAUCC
rnacentral:tRNA from 19 species